GAGAUGUUUGACUAGUCAUAUAGGAGUGAAUUAAAAAUAUUCGAUAGAGCUCUAAAAACAAAGGGAAAGACAGGAGAUUUUAAUUGAAUUGCAGUUACUCACGGCAUAAAUUUUUUUAGUGAAGAAAGAUGGAAGGGAAGAGUAAAGAAAAAUAGUAAAUUACUGACAAAAAGUCAUGAUUUUUAUGGCUUCAGAGAUUUGCAAAAUGCAUGCUUGUGUUUUACUGUAUGUAUUAUUAACACGUAAUGUUGUGUACGGCAUCUAAACUCUUCACCAACCACUGAUAACUCCAUCCCUUCUUCAUCUUCAUCUUCUUCUCUUAUUAUUAUUAUUCCCCACCAUUUACCUCUCAAGUCUCAAUCCAUUUCUAUGUUCAUCAACUUCUCCCAGCCUCAGGCCUUUCCUUUUCAUUUCUGCCUUUCUGGUUUUGCCUUUGCCUUUACAAGGACCCUCAUUUCUGGUACCAGAUAGCUCCACUCCAGCUUAGAUUCACCUCCACAUUUCCCCAGAAAACAAAUCAUCUUCUUUUAGCUAUUUAACUGCCUUUUUUUUUUUUGAAAAGUGGGUGCAUUUGGGUUUCUUCAAUGGGCUGCUGUUGUUUCUGGGAAGUGGCCACAUUUGGGCUUCCUUAAUUGGCUGCUUUUAUGUUUGUUAGUUCGAGAUCUGAACUUUACUGCUGGAAGGUUCAGAAUAUCUGAAAGAAAAUAAGGAAAAACAGACAUGGCAACUGAUCUCAAUGCAGAAUUAUCCAAGAAGACUGCCAUUUUUGGUCUUAAGGUCUGGGAGGUUAUUGGGAUUGUUGUUGCAUUAUUUAUCAUAAUCAUACUUUCUCUGCUGUCAUUUUUUUUAACUUCCCGGAAGAAAUCAAGAGCUAGAAAUAAGCUUCCCGUUACCCAAAUCCCAUCUAUUUCUAAGGAAAUUAAGGAAGUCAGUGUGGAGCAAAUAUCAACCAAUGAUUUUGUUCCUCGUGAUGGUAUUCUUCUCACCAUUCAAGACAAAUCCAGUGACAAAGAGUCAGAUAAGGUUCUGGUUCAUCUGGGGAUGGGAAAAUCCAAGAAUGGAGACAAUAGUAGUCAGUCAGGUUCAUUUCACCAUUUAGAAAAAGAUGGUGCAGGGUCUCAAUCAGGAGAAGAAGGGAGCUCUGGCACAGUAACUGUAUACAAACCCUCUUCUUCAUAUCCCAUUACUGCUCCUUCUCCUCUAGUUGGCCUGCCUGAAUUCUCUCACUUGGGUUGGGGUCACUGGUUUACAUUGAGGGAUCUUGAACUAGCCACAAACAGGUUUUCAAAGGAAAAUGUUCUGGGAGAGGGUGGAUAUGGCGUUGUUUUUCGGGGCCAAUUGAUCAAUGGGACGCCAGUGGCAGUGAAAAAGAUCCUCAACAACUUGGGCCAAGCAGAGAAAGAAUUUAGAGUGGAAGUAGAAGCCAUUGGGCAUGUGCGCCACAAGAAUUUGGUUCGUCUUUUGGGUUACUGUAUUGAAGGAACACACAGGAUGUUGGUUUAUGAGUAUGUCAACAAUGGGAACAUGGAACAAUGGCUUCAUGGAGCUAUGCGUCAGCAUGGAUAUCUUACUUGGGAGGCUCGCAUUAAAAUUCUCCUUGGCACAGCUAAGGCUCUUGCCUACUUGCACGAGGCUAUUGAACCAAAGGUGGUGCACCGGGACAUUAAGUCCAGCAAUAUAUUGAUUGAUGAGGACUUCAAUACCAAAGUUUCUGAUUUUGGUCUGGCCAAGUUGCUGGGUGCCGGGAAAAGUCAUGUCACAACCCGAGUUAUGGGAACAUUUGGAUAUGUGGCCCCUGAAUAUGCAAAUACUGGCCUUCUGAAUGAAAAGAGUGAUGUCUAUAGCUUUGGUGUUGUACUAUUGGAAGCAAUCACUGGUAGAGAUCCUGUGGACUAUGGUCGUCCUGCCCAUGAGGUAAAUUUGGUAGAUUGGCUGAAAAUGAUGGUUGGAAGCAGGAGGUCAGAGGAAGUGGUAGACCCAAAUAUAGAGGUUAGACCAUCAACAAGAGCUCUAAAACGCACCCUUCUUACUGCUUUGAGAUGUGUUGAUCCGGAUUCUGAAAAAAGACCCAAGAUGGGCCAAGUUGUGCGAAUGCUUGAGUCUGAGGAGUAUCCCAUACCAAGAGAGGAUCGAAGGCUUCGCAGGACUCAUGGAAGUAACUUGGAAAUAGAUUCACAAAGGUAUAAUUCUGACACAGAUCAGAGUGAUUAUCCAGCUUCCAGAUCAGAGAGCAAGCGGAUGCAAUCUUAACAUAAACUGCAAACAGGAUGGGGAAUGAAGGGUGGGAUUCUUAAAAUAUUUUUGAAGUUGUUGGGUUUGUCUCCGUAACUGUUGAUAAGUAGGGAACGGUGGGGAAGGUAAUCCCCUAUUAUUUUACGUUGUAUUAUUAUUUUUGGUUCUUUCUCCAUUAGUUUUAAAGUUGAAUGUAAUUUGUAGAUGGAAGAGAUGAUUUGUUUGUGUAUGAAAUUGGCGUUUGACGAACCCAAGAUUACUAGGGGUGUGUACAGGAUUGAAGACAUUUUCGAUGAGACACUGGCUAUGUUAUAAUCGGGAAAAUUGAAGAGCAUUAACUUGAAUGCAGCUGCAGGACUCAUGCUCAUGAUUAUGAUCAUGUCAUGUAUCAUUAAUUAAGGAAUGAAAGCCAAUGCAAGAGUCUAAUCUUAAAGGGUGACAAUUGAGUUUCCCCAUCUCUAUUUAUCCAAGCUCUAGCGUUUGAGAUUAUCACGUAGCCCAUGAUUGGCUACUAUGGAUCAGCAUAUAAGUUUUUGUGGUACUUCUAUGCCUUGUUCUGCACACAGCUCUACUUCCAAGUUUUUGGAAUGUUGUUGAGUCAUUGACACCAGAUGUCACAAUAGCAGCAGCUUUAUCCUCUGCCUUCUAAGUUCUACCAACUGCUUAAUCUUUUCUCUGGCUUCCCAAUUCCUCAACCGGUAAGCUAUUAGUAUUAUAUGAAUAUCCCCUCAGACUCAGAGAAAGGCCUGUAAAAAGAAAUUCAUGUCCAGAUCUUAUUAUUAUUAUUAUUAUUAUUGUCCAUAUCAUAGAUGAAUACAGCAUGAAAGAAUGAAUAUGUUGAAACAUAGUAACUACUUCGAGAUGGUAUUCGUUUGGCUGGCUGGCUGGUUAUAUAUUUUGUUCUUCCUCUGCCGAAAAUUCCAAAGUGGUGGAUCUGGUUGUAUUAUCUGAUGACUAUAUCUUGGACAUUGAAUUGUUUGCUCACUUCACCAUAUGGAGAUGUAAAUGAUGAAAUUAUGGUACUGGGUGAAGCCAAGGCAGUUGCUUCCUCGCUACAACCAUGACCGCAUACCUAUUACAGCAAUCUUUCUGAUUUCCUAUCCCCUAAUUUUUGCAUUUUUUGUUACACGUUUAAAUUUUGAUCGAAGGUGAAUUUCGGUUUCUCACGAGGAUGAAUGAAACUGUUGCCCAUAGAAA